rnacentral:rRNA from 1 species
GACGAACCGUGCGAACGUUGUUCGGAAUCACUGGGCUUAAAGGGCGCGUAGGCGGGGUCUCAAGUCAAGGGUGAAAGCCUCCGGCUUAACCGGAGAAGGGCUUUUGAUACUGGAGACCUCGAGGGGUGCAGGGGCAUGGUGGAACUUCCGGUGGAGCGGUGAAAUGCGUAGAAUAUCGGAGGAACGCCGGUGGCGAAAAGCGACGUGCUGGACACCUUCUGA